UCCCUGAUGGUCCAGUGGCUCGGACUAUGUACUCCCAAUGCAAGUAAUCUGGGUUUGAUUCCUGGUCAGGGGC
rnacentral:tRNA from 1 species